rnacentral:rRNA from 1 species
UACGGAGGGUGCAAGCGUUAUCCGGAUUUACUGGGUUUAAAGGGUGUGUAGGCGGGUUUUUAAGUCAGGGGUGAAAUCUCCGAGCUCAACUUGGAAACUGCCAUUGAUACUAUUGAUCUUGAAUUCUGUUGAGGUGGGCGGAAUAAGUCAUGUAGCGGUGAAAUGCAUAGAUAUGACUUAGAACACCAAUUGCGAAGGCAGCUCACUAAACAGAUAUUGACGCUGAGGCACGAAAGCGUGGGGAUCAAACAGG